GGCUCGAUGGUCUAACAGUACGAUUCUUGCUUCGGGUGUGAGAGGUUUUGGGUUCAAAUCCCGGUCGAGUCC